CUAAUACCGCAUAACACUUACGAGUCAAAGCAGCAAUGCGCUUGAGGAGGGGGUCGCGGCAGAUUAGCUAGUUGGCGGGGUAACGGCCCACCAAGGCGAAGAUCGGUAUCCGGCCUGAGAGGGUGCACGGACACACUGGAACUGAAACACGGUCCAGACUCCUACGGGAGGCAGCAGUGGGGAAUUUUGCGCAAUGGGGGAAACCCUGACGCAGCAACGCCGCGUGGAGGAUGAAAUCCCUUGGGAUGUAAACUCCUUUCGAUCGGGACGAUUAUGACGGUACCGGAAGAAGAAGCCCCGGCUAACUUCGUGCCAGCAGCCGCGGUAAUACGAGGGGGGCGAGCGUUGUUCGGAAUUAUUGGGCGUAAAGGGUGCGUAGGCGGUUUGAUAAGUCUGAUGUGAAAUCUAUGGGCUCAACCCAUAGUCUGCAUUAGAAACUGUCGGGCUUGAGUAUGGGAGAGGUGAGUGGAAUUUCCGGUGUAGCGGUGAAAUGCGUAGAUAUCGGAAGGAACACCUGUGGCGAAAGCGGCUCACUGGACCAUUACUGACGCUGAUGCACGAAAGCUAGGGGAGCAAACA
rnacentral:rRNA from 1 species